rnacentral:rRNA from 1 species
GACGAACGCUGGCGGCGUGCCUAAUACGUGCAAGUAGAACGCUGAAGGAGGAGCUUGCUUCUCUGGAUGAGUUGCGAACGGGUGAGUAACGCGUAGGUAACCUGCCUGGUAGCGGGGGAUAACUAUUGGAAACGAUAGCUAAUACCGCAUAAUAGUAGAUGUUGCAUGACAUUUGCUUAAAAGGUGCAAUUGCAUCACUACCAGAUGGUCCUGCGUUGUAUUAGCUAGUUGGUGGGGUAACGGCUCACCAAGGCGACGAUACAUAGCCGACCUGAGAGGGUGAUCGGCCACACUGGGACUGAGACACGGCCCAGACUCCUACGGGAGGCAGCAGUAGGGAAUCUUCGGCAAUGGACGGAAGUCUGACCGAGCAACGCCGCGUGAGUGAAGAAGGUUUUCGGAUCGUAAAGCUCUGUUGUAAGAGAAGAACGAGUGUGAGAGUGGAAAGUUCACACUGUGACGGUAUCUUACCAGAAAGGGACGGCUAACUACGUG